GACGAACGCUGGCGGCGUGCUUAACACAUGCAAGUCGAACGGAAAGGCCCUGCUUUUGUGGGGUGCUCGAGUGGCGAACGGGUGAGUAACACGUGAGUAACCUGCCCUUGACUUUGGGAUAACUUCAGGAAACUGGGUCUAAUACCGGAUAGGAGCUCCUGCUGCAUGGUGGGGGUUGGAAAGUUUCGGCGGUUGGGGAUGGACUCGCGGCUUAUCAGCUUGUUGGUGGGGUAGUGGCUUACCAAGGCUUUGACGGGUAGCCGGCCUGAGAGGGUGACCGGCCACAUUGGGACUGAGAGACGGCCCAGACUCCUACGGGAGGCAGCAGGGGGGAAUAUUGCACAAUGGGCGGAAGCCUGAUGCAGCAACGCCGCGUGCGGGAUGACGGCCUUCGGGUUGUAAACCGCUUUCGCCUGUGACGAAGCGUGAGUGACGGUAAUGGGUAAAGAAGCACCGGCUAACUACGUG
rnacentral:rRNA from 1 species